rnacentral:lncRNA from 1 species
GCUGUUGCCGCUGCCGCCUCCACCGAAGAUGGAAAUGGAGAUCGAUAUGUCAUCCUCGAUCAAUAGCCGCUGGAAGGUUGGGUUGGAGAAUGCCACUACAACCACCACCAAUGUCCCCACCACCAUCGGUGGCCCUACCGUCAUCCCCUCGACGAUUUGCUCCUAUGGCCCUAUCAAAAAAAUCGACAGGCUCGCAGUAGCAGAGACCAAGGAUAGUGUG